rnacentral:lncRNA from 1 species
AAUAUUAAUCUCGCUUGUACAUAAUUUUUAUCAACCCUCUUCAAAAACAUAUAAACAGGGUUCUGCUCUAUAUGUAUUUUAUAAAUUUAUUAAUAAAUCAGUAUUAGAGGGUUUGUAGAGCUUCUUGCUAUUUUUGCAUUUUUUUAUUUAUGCUUACUUUGGGCUCCAAUGGUCAAACAACAGGCAUGGCCUUUUUUCCUGGGCCGUCACAUCAUCCACCUCCUCCAGGUGGGGUACCAGUAUUCCCAAUGGCAGGUCAGAGACUUUAUUCAUUUGAUGUAUCUGUUUGCAUGCUAGAUUUUUUUUUUUUUUUUUUUCUUUUAACUAUUAGAAAUUUUCUAUGUCUUGUGUAAUUUUUGUUUUUAAAUUGAAAAUUUUUAUUAUUUUUAUUAUUAUCC